rnacentral:misc_RNA from 1 species
UCCGGUUUGGCACCGGCAGUCCUCCCAGAGUCCUCGACUUGACUCGCUAGCAACAUCGAACGAGGGUUGCGCUCGUUGCGGGACUUAACCCAACAUCUCACGACACGAGCUGACGACAACCAUGCACCACCUGUACACCGCCCCGAAGGACCCCGCAUCUCUGCGAGUUUUCGGUGUAUGUCAAGCCUUGGUAAGGUUCUUCGCGUUGCAUCGAAUUAAGCCGCAUGCUCCGCCGCUUGUGCGGGCCCCCGUCAAUUCCUUUGAGUUUUAGCCUUGCGGCCGUACUCCCCAGGCGGGGCGCUUAAUGCGUUAGCUGCGGCACGGAGAUCGUGGAAAGAUCCCCACACCUAGCGCCCAACGUUUACAGCGUGGACUAC